GCUAGGUGUGGUGGUGCACACCUGUAGUCCCAGCUACUUGGGAGGCUGAGGCAGGAGAAUCGCUUGAACCCAGGAGGCAGAGGUUGCAAUGAGCCCAGAUUGCGCCACUGCACUUCAGCCUGGGUGACAGAGUGAGACUCUGUCUCAA
ensembl:misc_RNA Metazoa_SRP Metazoan signal recognition particle RNA